rnacentral:lncRNA from 1 species
GAGUGAGCUUGGGAGAGAAAGGAAGUCCAGAAUUCAGAGGGAGUCGCUGACCACAACAGCCCGGGCAAGGCGGGACCUCUGCACUUAGACGGGUUUCAGGGCUAAAGAGAUGUCGCUGGAAUUAAGGGAAUUUGCAGCAAUUGCAGAGGACCCGGGUUCGGUUCCCAGCACCCACACGGUGACUCACAACCAUCUGGGACUCCAGUUCCAGGGCAUCCGACAACACCUCCUUCUGACCUCCACAGGAACCAGUAAUUUGCAUGUAUGUCCCUCCUGUCUUCCUGAAAUGGACCAGAAACUGCUUAAAGGUAUUCUAUUCAUCUUCGCGUCCCCUCCACCUAGGACAGUGCCCAGCACCUGAGGGACCUGGAAGGCACACGAAGUGCAACCUGACCACUGAACAAUACCGGGACAAGUGGCACCCAUCUUCCAGCAAAGCAGGUCCAUGCCCGCAGCUUGGGAAGGCUACAGAUGUUCUCCAGC